AUUGAACGCUGGCGGCAGGCCUAACACAUGCAAGUCGAGCGAGCGGCGGACGGGUGAGUAAUGUAUGGGGACUGCCCGAUAGAGGGGGAUAACUACUGGAAACGGUGGCUAAUACCGCAUACUGUCUGAUAACCCACAUGGGCUUAGCUAGUAGGUAAGGUAAUGGCUUACCUAGGCGACGAUCCCUAGCUGGUCUGAGAGGAUGAUCAGCCACACUGGGACUGAGACACGGCCCAGACUCCUACGGAGGCAGCAGUGGGGAAUAUUGCACAAUGGGCGCAAGCCUGAUGCAGCCAUGCAGCAUGUAUGAAGAAGGCCCUAGGGUUGUAAAGUACUUUCAGUAGGGAGGCGUUACCGACAGAAGAAGCAACGGCUAACUCCGUGAGAGCAGACGCGGUAAUAC
rnacentral:rRNA from 1 species